rnacentral:rRNA from 1 species
GUAGGUGGCAAGCGUUAUCCGGAUUUACUGGGUGUAAAGGGCGAGUAGGCGGGAUUGCAAGUCAGAUGUGAAAACUAUGGGCUCAACCGAUAGAGUGCAUUUGAAACUGCAGUUCUUGAGUGAUGGAGAGGCAGGCGGAAUUCCCGGUGUAGCGGUGGAAUGCGUAGAUAUCGGGAGGAACACCAGUGGCGAAGGCGGCCUGCUGGACAUUAACUGACGCUGAGGCGCGAAAGCGUGGGGAGCAAA